UACGGGGGGGGCAAGCGUUGUUCGGAAUUACUGGGCGUAAAGGGCUCGUAGGUGGCCAACUAAGUCAGACGUGAAAUCCCUCGGCUUAACCGGGGAACUGCGUCUGAUACUGGAUGGCUUGAGUUUGGGAGAGGGAUGCGGAAUUCCAGGUGUAGCGGUGAAAUGCGUAGAUAUCUGGAGGAACACCGGUGGCGAAGGCGGCAUCCUGGACCAACACUGACACUGAGGAGCGAAAGCCGGGGGAGCAAACGGG
rnacentral:rRNA from 1 species